CUCCAUUACACACUAGGUGGCUACUACCUUAGUUAACGCUGACAUGGAAGACAGAAAUUUGAGUUGGCUUGUCAUCUUCUUCCAAAUGUUAAAUGAAACGCCAUGUCAACACCACAUCGCACAACCAAACACACCUUUGUCAAGUUUUAACCCUUAAACACUCCUUUAUCAUCUCCAAACAAAAACAGAAACAGGAGGAAGGAAAUUCCUAAAUUGAUUUCAAAGCUCCAUCAUCAAACCCCCAACUUGAAAUCACCUUCAAAACCCUAACCCACAAAUCAAGAAAAUCAAUUAACCAAAUCCCUAAAUCAACAUCAUUGUUAACCACUUGAAGAGCAACCCAAGCGUGAAGAAGCAGCACCCAUUGCAUUUCAGACUCCGAGCAGGGUCUCAUCGGGGUAAAAUGGACGGACGGAUUGACGGUAAAUUCGAAACACCUUUUGUUUUUGAGCAUAUUAAAAAGUAUGAAGCUUAUUUUAAGAAUUAUGCAACUAUGGGUUGUAUGAUUAUUGUAGGUGAGAUAACUGUAAGAAAUUAGAUAGAGGUUUUUUUGUGCUUGUGUGGUUGAAUUAAUGAUUCUAUAUUACUAUUAUUACUGUGUUGUUAGUAAAAAAACUAACUUGUAAAAUUAUAUUUUGGAAAGAAAAAUAAGCUUAAAGAGAUCUUCUAGCCUUCCCAGUUUCAAUUUUGGCUUUCUCGAGUUUGACUUCUUGGCCAUGACAAACUUGGAAUACAAAUGGGAUUGAUGCUUUGAUUCAGUUUACUUGACAGUCAUUUCCUAUAUAUGCUUGAGGCCUUAUUUGUCUUUAUUUGACCCUAGUCAUACUUGCUUUCCAAGCUAAUCCUUUAAAACUUUUCUGAUUGUUUCUUCCUUUAUUUACGUAAAUAUCACUGGACUUUCACCACUUGGAUAACACUUAUGCAAAAUGCUCUAGGAAAUUGGUGUUUGGAUAAAUGUUCGUUCAAAUUUUGAUCAUUUACAUGUACUCUUGCUUAAUGUGCCUUGCUUAUUGUAAGGAAGAUUCGGACUUCAUAGAUUCCGACCACGACUUUGAGUCUGAACAAGACGACGUGCUAAGCUGUUGACAUUGGCAAACACAUAUCCCUCGGGGAAUACCCCACAUCCACAAUAAAUUACGUAUUUCUGACUUUGGUGAUUUUGUUUUUUAGGAAAUGAAAACUGAGCGGAACUUAUACUGUUAUUGACGUUUUGGAUGGCCAUUUUGCUGAUGAUGACAAAUCCCUGGAAAUGGCAUUUCUUCAUCUACAUCAGGAGUCUGACAAAGAAAAGUGUUGUAUAAAGGUCAUUUUGUGCCUAAAUCAGGUAUAUAACCUGUCAGAUUAUAUUUUCAUUGCUUUUAGUAGGUUGGUUUAUGUUGUACCUUAUUCCUUUUAAUUGAAAUAUUCAUGCUAUUAAAGUGACUGCUCGAGCUCUCGAGACCAAUGUGACUUCCACUGUCCAUUGGGUUAUUUACGAAAAGAAUUACUACAGCAAUUAGUACGUGGUUAGAAAGGAUGAUUUAAUCCAUUUUGUAGUAUGAGAUAUGGUUGUGGCU
rnacentral:lncRNA from 1 species